rnacentral:misc_RNA from 1 species
CCGAGGGCGGGCCCUCGCGGCCCAACACUCCCACCCUUGUCUCUAUACACCUGUUGCUUUGGCGGGCCCACCGGGGCCACCUGGUCGCCGGGGGGGACGUACGUCCGCCGGGCCCGCCCGGCCCGCGCGAAGCGCGCUGUGAACCACUGAUGAAGAUGGGUCUGUCUGAGUACUAUGAAAAAUCUGUCA